rnacentral:rRNA from 1 species
CAGGUCUUGACAUCCCUUUGACCGGUCUAGAGAUAGGCCUUUCCUUCGGGACAAAGGAGACAGGUGGUGCAUGGUUGUCGUCAGCUCGUGUCGUGAGAUGUUGGGUUAAGUCCCGCAACGAGCGCAACCCUUAUGCUUAGUUGCCAGCAGGUCAAGCUGGGCACUCUAAGCAGACUGCCGGUGACAAACCGGAGGAAGGUGGGGAUGACGUCAAAUCAUCAUGCCCCUUAUGACCUGGGCUACACACGUACUACAAUGGCCGGUACAACGGGAAGCGAAAUCGCGAGGUGGAGCCAAUCCUAGAAAAGCCGGUCUCAGUUCGGAUUGUAGGCUGCAACUCGCCUACA